rnacentral:rRNA from 1 species
CACGUAGGCACCAAGCGUUAUCCGGAUUUAUUGGGCGUAAAGAGCUCGUAGGCGGUUCGGUAAGUCGGGUGUGAAAACUCUGGGCUCAACCCAGAGAGGCCACCCGAUACUGCUGUGACUAGAGUGCGGUAGGGGAGCGGGGAAUUCCUGGUGUAGCGGUGAAAUGCGCAGAUAUCAGGAGGAACACCAGCGGCGAAGGCGCCGCUCUGGACCGUAACUGACGCUGAGGAGCGAAAGCAUGGGUAGCAAACAGG